GUGAACCUGCGGAUGGAUCAUUG
rnacentral:rRNA from 1 species